GAAGAACGCUGGCGGCGUGCCUAACACAUGCAAGUCGAACGGAGUUAUGAAGUUUUCGGACGGAUUAACUUAGUGGCGGACGGGUGAGUAACGCGUGGGUAACCUGCCUCAUACAGGGGGAUAACAGUUGGAAACGACUGCUAAAACCGCAUAACAUUGCGAUGCCGCAUGGCGAUGCAAUUAAAUAUUUAUAGGUAUGAGAUGGGCCCGCGUCUGAUUAGCUAGUUGGUGAGGUAAUGGCUCACCAAGGCGACGAUCAGUAGCCGGCUUGAGAGAGGGACCGGCCACAUUGGGACUGGGACACGGCCCAAACUCCUACGGGAGGCAGCAGUGGGGAAUAUUGCACAAUGGGCGAAAGCCUGAUGCAGCGACGCCGCGUGAGUGAAGAAGUAUUUCGGUAUGUAAAGCUCUAUCAGCAGGGAAGAUAAUGACGGUACCUGACUAAGAAGCCCCGGCUAACUACGUGCCAGCCGCCGCAGUAA
rnacentral:rRNA from 1 species